rnacentral:rRNA from 1 species
GAUGAACGCUGGCGGCGUGCCUAAUACAUGCAAGUCGAGCGAACAGACGAGGAGCUUGCUCCUCUGACGUUAGCGGCGGACGGAUGAGUAACACGUGGAUAACCUACCUAUAAGACUGGGAUAACUUCGGGAAACCGGAGCUAAUACCGGAUAAUAUAUUGAACCGCAUGGUUCAAUAGUGAAAGACGGUUUUGCUGUCACUUAUAGAUGGAUCCGCGCCGCAUUAGCUAGUUGGUAAGGUAACGGCUUACCAAGGCAACGAUGCGUAGCCGACCUGAGAGGGUGAUCGGCCACACUGGAACUGAGACACGGUCCAGACUCCUACGGAAGGCAGCAGUAGGGAAUCUUCCGCAAUGGGCGAAAGCCUGACGGAGCAACGCCGCGUGAGUGAUGAAGGUCUUCGGAUCGUAAAACUCUGUUAUAGGGAAGAACAAAUGUGUAAGUAACUAUGCACGUCUUGACGGUACCUAAUCAGAAAGCCACGGCUAACUACGUG